rnacentral:lncRNA from 1 species
UAUUAUGCGCCUUGCAGGGCCCGGGCGGCUGAGGAGGCGGGGUUUGGACGCCAGGGCGAUGCCCCUUUGCCUGGGAAGCUCAGUAGCAGACAGUCCUCCAGCCUCCUCGGAACCUGCAUGGCGCAGAGAAAAGCCCCGCGCGGUGGGGGGAGGCGCGUGGCGUGUCCCGGUGUCUGCGGCUCUGAGCUUCCCGCAGUUACAAACGGCUGUGGGACGCCUGUUCCUACAAAUCCUGCAAUCCACAACCACCUCCUUCACUUCAGCAGAAAGUUUCUUAGCUCACGGUGCCAGUUCUUACGUCGAAAGAGUCCUGUGUCUACACUGGAGGGUGGAAAAAUUCCCCUUUUCUGAUGUGGUUUUCCCUUCUCUCUGGAAAAACAACCUUUCUAUGGCCAUAGAUAUCCUGCUGCACAAAGAGGAACAACCAGUACAGCCUAAGAUGGAUACCCUUCUACAAAUGGUUGACGUUUCAACUGUGGUUGGUUUUCUUUGUACCCCUCCAUUGUAG